rnacentral:rRNA from 1 species
UACGAAGGGGGCUAGCGUUGCUCGGAUUUACUGGGCGUAAAGGGCGCGUAGGCGGACAGUUUAGUCAGAGGUGAAAGCCCAGGGCUCAACCUUGGAAUUGCCUUUGAUACUGGCUGUCUUGAGUACGGGAGAGGUGAGUGGAACUCCGAGUGUAGAGGUGAAAUUCGUAGAUAUUAGGAAGAACACCAGUGGCGAAGGCGGCUCACUGGCCCGGUACUGACGCUGAGGCGCGAAAGCGUGGGGAGCAAACGGG